rnacentral:lncRNA from 1 species
CACCCAUUCUGCCAUUCACACACACACACACACUCUCUCUCUCUCUCUCUCUCUCUCUCUCUCUCUGGGCCUGUUUGGUUCGCUUCUUUUUUACCAUGGAAAUCGGAAUCGGAAUGGGUGAAUUCGUUUGUGCGUGUUUGGUAUGCGGGUGUCCCAAUCCGAUUCCGAUUCCCGAGUGGAGUGGGAAUCUCCCAAUCAUCUCAUUUUUCAAUCAGGGCUAGGAGGCCGGAUAGGAAGUUUAAUCUGGACGGAAUGGAUAUUUAUUCGAAUUAAAUUUAUUUUUUCAAAUUUUUUAAUUAAAAUAUGAGUUUAAAUUUAGAAAUUUAA